rnacentral:rRNA from 1 species
UGGGGAAUAUUGCACAAUGGGCGCAAGCCUGAUGCAGCCAUGCCGCGUGUAUGAAGAAGGCCUUCGGGUUGUAAAGUACUUUCAGCGAGGAGGAAGGCAUUAAGGUUAAUAACCUUGGUGAUUGACGUUACUCGCAGAAGAAGCACCGGCUAACUCCGUG